UGGGGAAUCUUGGACAAUGGGCGAAAGCCUGAUCCAGCAACGCCGCGUGCGGGACGAAGGCCCUCGGGUCGUAAACCGCUGUCAGGAGGGAGGAACGGUGCGUGGUUAAGAGCUGCGUACUUUGACAGUACCUCCAGAGGAAGCCCCGGCUAACUCCGUGCCAGCAGCCGCGGUAAUACGUAGGGUGCAAGCGUUGUCCGGAAUUAUUGGGCGUAAAGAGCUCGUAGGCGGUCCGUUGCGUCUGCCGUGAAAACCCGGAGCUCAACUCCGGGCCUGCGGUGGCAUACGGGCGGACGUAGAGUCCGGUAGGGGAGACUGGAAUUCCCGGUGUAGCGGUGAAAUGCGCAGAUAUCGGGGAGGAACACCAGUAGCGAAGGCGGCUCUCUGGGCCGACACCGACGCUGAGGAGCGAAAGCUAGGGGAGCAAACAGGAUUAGAUACCCGUGGUAGUCCACGCCGUAAACGAUGAGUGCUAGUCGUCGGCAGGCAUGCCUGUCGGUGACGCAGCUAACGCAUUAA
rnacentral:rRNA from 1 species